UUUUUGCACGGAUGGAAUGAGAAUUGGGUCGCCAAGGACGAGCAAUUCUGGCACAUGGCUAUGUUGGUUGUCUCAGUUGUCUUUUACAAUGCCACAUUCUCUUUCUCGGGUCCAUCUGAACAUGACUGUGGACUCAACCUAUUUUACAUUGUCUUCACAUCGAUUCUUGUUUUUUCAUUUGCAAUCAUUUCCCUGCACCCGAAGAGGUGUUACAUGAAUAUGCCAAUUUUCAAACUUGAGGCUGCGACACAGGAAUGUAUAGUAGAUAACUGAAUCACGACUCUCGAAGCUUUUUCUCAUUGGAGCCUACUGUUCCCUCCGCUAUGACUGAAGGCCCCACCAUACAAUCAGAUAAAGCAUUAGCGGGCUUGCCACAGUGGCCUUGGCCGUAGCAGCAGCACGCCACGAGCAGCGACGCCAGAGAAGAGGGAGUUCCAAAUGGCGAUUACAACGAAGAUCAGACGACAAAAGACAUGAGCGAGGUGAAAAUGCAGCUAUCCCUUAAUUUAUAGAUAUAUUUUUUCAUUGAAGUUUAUUAACUCUAUUGAGUCUAUUGCAAACCAUGGUUUCAAAUGCAUCAUGGCGGAGUUUAUCAAUAACACUUCAUUGCUGCUGCCACCACCAUGAUGGUACAAGCUUUACAAACCAUGAUUUCUUUUAGAUCCAAAACUUGAAACUUCAAUUUUAUCAAUCAAAUAAGCAAGUGAAAUUUGAAUUCCCUCCUCCUUUUCGUUAAUGGGAAAUUCUAUUAAACUCAUCGAUCUUUUAGAUCUGAUGUUGUUCUAUAACAUGGCUGAUCACUGUGCGGUUGCAUUAGUUUUCUUUCUCAUGU